rnacentral:rRNA from 1 species
CCUACGGGAGGCAGCAGUAGGGAAUAUUGCUCAAUGGGGGAAACCCUGAAGCAGCCAAGUAGCGUGUAGGAUGACGGCCCUACGGGUUGUAAACUGCUUUUAUACGGGAAUAACGCGCCUUACGUGUAGGGCUUUGCAUGUACCGUAUGAAUAAGGACCGGCUAAUUCCGUGCCAGCAGCCGCGGUAAUACUGAAGGUCCGGGCGUUUUCCGGAUUUAUUGGGUUUAAAGGGGGCGUAGGCCGCAUGUCAAGCGUGCUGUGAAAUUUCUGGGCUCAACCCGGGCCUUGCAGUGCCAACUGGCGUGCUUGAGUCCGCGGAAAGCAGGCGGAAUUCGUCGUGUAGCGGUGAAAUGCUUAGAUAUGACGAAGAACCCCGAUUGCGAAGGCAGCUUGCUGCAGCGGAACUGACGCUGAUGCUCGAAAGCGCGGGUAUCGAACAGGAUUAGAUACCCUUGUAGUC